CCCAAACUUAGACGUCGUAGCCACAGCAAAGUAACAUCCGGUCACCCCACUUGACUUCGGCUCACCCACUCGUCUCUUCUUCCACGAUGGGGCCGCUUUACACGCUGUUACACACUCACGCAAACACUAGUAUUCAAUCUCCAUGUAUAAACAAUGAUGUGAUGGUAAGCCAAUGUACUCACAGUUUUCGUAAUACCGAUCUUCUCUCACUAACUUUCUCUUUCCAGUUUCUCACAGGUGCCCGGAAAUUAUGCCGUUGUUCCGCCCUGGUUUCGUUUCUCCCACGGUCCCUCAAUAUGCGUGGCCUUCGUAUAACAGACAAACUGCUAUUAAUAUGGAUUUGGUCCUAAGAUCAUUCAGCAUCCAACAACUACAGAGACACAGACAACCUUUCUUGCAGCGUACUGUAUGUAAUGUAACAGAGAAAGAUGGAUGUACAGGGGUACAUAAAGAAUGGAGAGGGUGAUGUUCAAUCUCACGAAAUCACAUCAAAUAGAACACGUUGAUCUCUCAUUUGACCUGCACUAGAUCAUCUUCAACACUAUGGCACUUUCUUUCCUCACACACUCAUUAUAUUCUACCUGCAGUUCGAUCUGACACAAAGGCCCACAUCUACAGGAAGGUCAGAGGUCAGGAAGAUGGAUGACAGACUCGUGAGACUGACCCCUAGGGUAACAGACAGCCUGAAUUCAACGCUAGUCUGUUUUAUAGUAUCCUUUUCUGAAUAAAGCGCUCAUGUCACUUGAAUAUGACUAGUAAUAUGUCUACCUGAGAUUACAGUACAGUCUCUUUCAAACAAACACAUUGCCCGCACUUGUAAUGUUUUGUCUUAAUUCAAAAUAUAAUCAAAACAUCACUA